UACGUAGGGCGCAAGCGUUAUCCGGAAUUAUUGGGCGUAAAGAGCUCGUAGGCGGUUUGUCGCGUCUGCCGUGAAAGUCCGGGGGCUCAACUCCGGAUCUGCGGUGGGUACGGGCAGACUAGAGUGAUGUAGGGGAGACUGGAAUUCCUGGUGUAGCGGUGAAAUGCGCAGAUAUCAGGAGGAACACCGAUGCGAAGGCAGGUCUCUGGGCAUUAACUGACGCUGAGGAGCGAAAGCAUGGGGGAGCGAACAGG
rnacentral:rRNA from 1 species